GAAGACUUGCAGUUGACUUACUAGAUGAAACUGGUUUUCAUAGUGGUUUCGUAAAUAUUUUAAUUGUGAGAUCACUGUGAAAACUAAUUUUGUCGAUUCGAAUCUUCAGGAGAUAUAUU
rnacentral:precursor_RNA from 9 species